rnacentral:rRNA from 1 species
GAGAAAGUGAAUAUUAUUGGUUAGUAGUUAAAUAUAAUGUAUUUAUUAAAAUAGUAGUUUUUAGGUGAAAUUUAUAAUUAUUAUUUAAUUUUGUUGAAGUUGAAGCUAUGAAAUUCAUGUUAUAAACGAGGAUUAGAUACCCUUUUAUUGUGAAUGUAAAGAUUAACCUGGGUAGUAAUAGUUAUAUUCCUUGAAKCCCAAAGGAUUUGGCGGUAUUUUAGUCUUUUCAGAGGAAUCUGUCCUGUAAUCGACAGUCCACGAGUAGAUGUACUUAAUUUNGNAUAAUCAGUUUGUAUACCUCCGUCAUAAGAGUAUCUUUUUAGAGAUAAUUUUCUUAAUAUAAUUAAUAUAGUAUGUCAGGUCAAGGUGCAACUUAUAAUUAAGUAGAGAUGGAUUACAAUAAAUUUAUUUAUAUGGAUUAAAUUAUUUAAAAUUUUAUGAAGGUGGAUUUGAAAGUAAAAUUAAUAUUUAUUAAUUUGAUUUUGGCUCUAAAAUAUGCACACAUCGCCCGUCGCUCUCAUUAUUAAAAUGAGAUAAGUCGUAACAUAGUAGAUGUACCGGAAGAUGUAUCUAGAAAGUA